AGUUUGAUUAUGGCUCAGGAUGAACGCUAGCUACAGGCUUAACACAUGCAAGUCGAGGGGCAGCAGGACGAUAGCUUGCUAUUGUCGCUGGCGACCGGCGCACGGGUGAGUAACGCGUAUCCAACCUUCCCCUUAGUAGAGGAUAGCCCGGCGAAAGUCGGAUUAAUACUCUAUGUUGUAUUUUUGAGGACAUCUGACGAAUACCAAAGGUUCACCGCUAAGGGAUGGGGAUGCGUCUGAUUAGCUUGUUGGCGGGGUAACGGCCCACCAAGGCGACGAUCAGUAGGGGUUCUGAGAGGAAGGUCCCCCACAUUGGUACUGAGACACGGACCAAACUCCUACGGGAGGCAGCAGUGAGGAAUAUUGGUCAAUGGGCGAGAGCCUGAACCAGCCAAGUAGCGUGCAGGAAAGACUGCCCUAUGGGUUGUAAACUGCUUUUAUCAGGGAAUAAAGUGCGGCACGUGUGCUGUUUUGUAUGUACCUGAUGAAUAAGGACCGGCUAAUUCCGUGCCAGCCGCCGC
rnacentral:rRNA from 1 species